CCUUGCAUGUGCUACAAUGAUCGUUCUCACAUUUAGAAAUUGGAUUUAGUCUUUGGUUCAUGUUGAGGUAUCACACUUAUUCCUCUUGACCCUCUUAAUUCUUUUCUAUGUGUUUUACAGUUGGUUAUCUGUUGUUAUUUGAGUAUAUACUUGCUACUAUGUAUGCUUCACACGUCAUGUGUUUGUUUUUAUUCAGACUGUGGUUAUGAUUGUGGUCUGAUUGCUCAAUCUAUUCUGCUGCUUGUGGUUCGUGGUUCACAAUGAUCUGUUAUUCGCCCUUGUGUUUUCUUUAUGGAUGCCACACCUUCUUAGUCAAUGCGACUGGCCACACAUCAAUCAAGUCUUUUGUAGACCAUUGUGUAGUUUACAUCCCCUGAAAAAUUGCAUACAUACAUGUUGAAGCCUGCUUUGAUGCUUGCAAAUAAACCAAGGGAACCACAGCCCCAUGGGUGAUGCUUUGGGCGAGAUAGAUAUACAGAAUUGUUUCUUGUGGCGUAAAUCAUUAGAGAGGAGCCUUGGGGAGAGUCAAAGCUCCAAUUUGGACUGCUUGGUUCCAUCAAAUACCUACCAUUAUUGUGAUAAGCAUGUUCUACUUUAUGCUAAUUUUUUUCUUAAUUCCUGUGUGCUUAAGAUAUUUUGGUCUCAAUUAAACCACCCAUUUUGGAGUUGAAACAUCAUGGUGAUUUAGGUGUUCUUUUAAGACUUGGGUCAGCAACUUCAGGUUCAGUUAUUAUUGUUGUCUUAUGCAGUAUGCCAUUUUUCGCCUUGACAAAUUUUUGUUUGGACAUAAUAGGUUUAUAUCGCUGCUAUUUGAUGAAUACUUUUUUUCAAACCAAGCACCCAAGUAGCUGGCAAAUCCAGUUCAACAAAGUAGGAGGGCAAUAAAGAUUUUUCUUUUAAUGUUCUGCGGCAAGACACUUUAGUAGUUUAACAUGUGCUUGAUGCUUCCUGAUAAUAUAUGUAUGUUGUUAGAAGGAGCUAAUCUAUUUUCCUAACUACUUUAGUGGCUACAUUCUCAAAAACAUCAUUAUUUUCAUUUGAUGAUGGUUCAGAAAUAUGCAUUGAUUACUUCCAUUCGUUCUUUUACAUCACCGAUUUUACAUGCUUAUUAGUAGAGUAGGAAGAAUUGCAAGAUUUUGUAUGAUAGUUUUGAAUUCUUCUCAAACUGUACGCAUCAUAUGCUAAAGCAAAUACUUGUUGUAUUAUUUUGUAGGAGUUUGGAUUAUUGUGAGGACAACUUUUUGGAGUUUGGUUUACCCUGAGUAAUUGUUGUAGGAGUUGGGAGUGCUCUAUAUGCUCUGCGAUGACUGCUUGCACUACAGGAGCCUCCCGACGAAGGUCAUCUUUCUCACUUUUCUCCCCCUCCAGCCCCUCCCUCUAAAUCCCAUUGUAACUUUCAUGUGAAAGAGACUAGAUCAUGCAUAAGAAAGGGCAGAUUAGCAUUUCAUUGGUGUGUGUGCAUCGGCAGUGAGCUUUUGUGCUACUUUUAUUUCAGAGUGAUGACCAGUACUACUAAUUGGCAGAUACUCUAUUUUAUUUUGUGUUGCACUUAGCUCAAAUUAUUAUAUUUUCUUUAGAUGUCGGGUGAAAAGAGGUACCAAUAGAAUAUAUACCAGAUACUGAUUAUCUGCGAAAAAUUCUUAGCAUGUGGUCAUCUAAACGUAUUUGUUUUUCUAAGCCGCACAAACCAGGUUCAAAGAGUUGUAAGAAAGGAGAACUACGUGAAAUCAUGUACCAACUACUAACGCCUACCAACAAUCAGGUCGGUUCAGAGCCAGUCGCAGAAAAUAACCAACGGAAUUAUGCUCAUACCGCGAAUGGGAAGUGCAACUUUUAACCAAGAUGGCUUCUAGAUCAAUGUAAAAUAAUAGAUAUAGCUGACACUUGCAGCACCAUCUCCUUCCCGGUGAGAUCGGUGAAGUGGUUGAGGCCGAGGGGAUACGUGUAGACCCUGGUUUCGACCGCGGUCUUGUGUCGAUCGACGAGGCAAAAAUGGAAUUUUCUCAAAAGAAAAAGGGGAUAGGUAGAUUUAGUGUGCAAGUAUAACUAGGAUAGAUAGAUAGAUAGAUAGAUAACGUGUACUACCUCUGAUUGGCUUUUGUUGAACGGAUUCUGACUGUUGUCUUGCACUAAACUGAACAAGUGCCCAUGCAGUUUUACAAUCUGAACAUUCAUUUCAUUAAACAAGAAAAGCUAGGUUGGUCAUCAAUGAAGCAUUUAUGGAUCCAUUUGAUGAUGAAUCCUAUCCCAUCCCAUCUUGAAUACCCCUCUCUGCAUUUCAAAGGUACUAGCUAGCAUUACCCUAUUUGUGUUUGUCGAUCAAGUUUUCAGAUCAAUAGCUAUUAUUUUUUUUCUAAAUGUUUUAUAUAUGAUAACUUUUGUACAUACUGGUGUCCAUAUAAGUCAGCUAUGUAGUCUUGAUAUUUCAUAUGUACCUUCAAUUUUUUUGCCUCAAGUAAUGAGAUUAAAAUAAGUUUUAUGUUGUACAGCAAAUAUCUUGAGAGUGACCACUCCAAAACUUUAUGUUGGUAGGUACAUAUUUGAUAGCAUACUGUAGUCAAGGUAUAGUCUGUACUGUCAUUUCUUUUUGUGGUUAAAAUAUAUGACAGUUCAGUUGUCCAAGAAAAUUUUAAGAGGUUACUUCAGUACUUUGGGUCGUUAGUUUGGAGAAAACAUUUAGGCUUUCCCUUCUGCUGCUAUUCAUGAGGAUGUCCCUUUUUCUGUAUAUUCUUGUGUUAAUUAAGAAAAGGUUAACCACAUUAUUUGGAGCUUUACCUCAGCUCUUAUGUUUGCAAAUUGAUUUGUUGAACUUUUGGUGCAAGGAGAUCAACUACCUCUUGCCUGCAUUGCCUGUUAGAACGUUUUGGUCAAGAAAUAUGUAAUAUAAGAGAUAUUCUCCACUUUAGUUUGACUUCUUGACAAAUGAAAUAAAAGUGAAGUCUUAUUGGAAAUACACCUGAUCCAUUAUACUCCCUCUGUUCCAAAUUACUCGUCGUGGUUUUAGUCCAAAUUUGAACUAAAACCAUGACGAGUAAUUUGGAACGGAGGGAGUAUAUGGCAAUGUCAGUUCUAAGAUUAGUUCUUAACUGCUUAUGGCUUGUUACCGAGUACUUCUACUUAAUAUUUCUUAUUAUUUGUUGUCAAAUAUACCUAAGGGCACCAUCAUGUUUAUUUUUGUUAAUAAUCACUGACUUGACAUUAGAGCUUUGUCGUCUCAGUUUUGAUUUUUCCAAAUGGAUUUGCUUAUCAAAUGGUUGUCUCUCGGGUAAUGCGUGCACUUAAUUCAAGGAAAAGAUAUGAAUGGGUAUGCAGGAAGGGGAGUGCGUUCCGCUGCUGUAUGAGAAAAAGUGCACGCAACUGAGGACCUAGGAUGCCAACGGUGCAGAGCCGUUCACCAUCGAGAGGACCAGGGCUACCAUCAGGAAUCUCCGGACCAAGCUCAACAUCACCGUCGCCUUUGUCAAAGACGUGUCCCGGAGGGUAGUUGUCAUCUGCGACUCCUCCAAAUGUACGUGUAUUUAUUAUAGGCUGCUCGAUCGCCCUCCCCCUCUCAAGAACCCUGAUGAUGCAGGUGUUUGAUCGAUGUUUCUUGUUGCUGUGUUGUAUGUAUAGGCUGGCAAGGAUGUGGCGAGUCAUUGGCGACGUGCACCGGGUGAUGAAGCGCAUAGUGGAUGAGGUGAGCGAGCUUCUCCCAUAGUCACCACACGGUCGGAGGCAUCAGAGGCACACCACCGCCGUUGGGGCCUACACAUGCGCAAUUUCUAUUGUUGUAUCUUAUUAGUUGCCAUGCAGCAAGAUGCUUCUGUCGAUGGUAUUAUAAUUGUUGUGUGUUGUCUGUGAUGGAAUAUUAUUUUCUUUCUCACGUGAUGUAUAAAUAUAAUAAGUUUAUCAAGAAUUUCGUAUCCAGAUCCAAAAAGGAAACUGAAAGGGUCGUUCCCUGGUGCCAGCCUAUUCUCUGAAUGUGUUGCAUUUGCACUGCUGUCUUAUUAUUCCAGUCAUCAAGUUGCAUGUACA
rnacentral:lncRNA from 1 species